UACGUAGGGUGCAAGCGUUGUCCGGAAUUAUUGGGCGUAAAGAGCUCGUAGGUGGCCUGUCGCGUCGGCUGUGAAAACUCGGGGCUCAACUCCGAGCUUGCAGUCGAUACGGGCAGGCUAGAGUUCGGCAGGGGAGACUGGAAUUCCUGGUGUAGCGGUGAAAUGCGCAGAUAUCAGGAGGAACACCGGUGGCGAAGGCGGGUCUCUGGACCGAUACUGACGCUGAGGCGCGAAAGCGUGGGGAGCAAACAGG
rnacentral:rRNA from 1 species